AUGAACGCUGGCGGCGUGCCUAAUACAUGCAAGUCGAGCGAACAGACGAGGAGCUUGCUCCUCUGACGUUAGCGGCGGACGGGUGAGUAACACGUGGAUAACCUACCUAUAAGACUGGGAUAACUUCGGGAAACCGGAGCUAAUACCGGAUAAUAUAUUGAACCGCAUGGUUCAAUAGUGAAAGACGGUUUUGCUGUCACUUAUAGAUGGAUCCGCGCCGCCUUAGCUAGUUGGUAAGGUAACGGCUUACCAAGGCGACGAUGCGGAGCCGACCUGAGAGGGUGAUCGGCCACACUGGGACUGAGACACGGGCCAGACUCCUACGGGAGGCAGCAGUAGGGAAUCUUGCGCAAUGGGCGAAAGCCUGACGGAGCAACGCCGCGUGAGUGAUGAGGGUCUUCGGAUCGUAAAACUCUGUUAUUAGGGAAGAACAAAUGUGUAAGUAACUAUGCACGUCUUGACGGUACCUAAUCAGAAAGCCACGGCUAACUACGUG
rnacentral:rRNA from 1 species